rnacentral:rRNA from 1 species
CCUACGGGCGGCAGCAGUGGGGAAUAUUGGACAAUGGGGGCAACCCUGAUCCAGCCAUGCCGCGUGUGUGAAGAAGGCCCUCGGGUUGUAAAGCACUUUCAGUGAGGAAGAACGCCUGGUGGUUAAUACCCAUCAAGAAAGACAUCACUCACAGAAGAAGCACCGGCUAACUCCGUGCCAGCAGCCGCGGUAAUACGGAGGGUGCGAGCGUUAAUCGGAAUUACUGGGCGUAAAGCGCGCGUAGGUGGCUUGAUAAGCCGGUUGUGAAAGCCCCGGGCUCAACCUGGGAACGGCAUCCGGAACUGUCAAGCUAGAGUGCAGGAGAGGAAGGUAGAAUUCCCGGUGUAGCGGUGAAAUGCGUAGAGAUCGGGAGGAAUACCAGUGGCGAAGGCGGCCUUCUGGACUGACACUGACACUGAGGUGCGAAAGCGUGGGUAGCAAACAGGAUUAGAUACCCUAGUAGUC